UUCAGUUCUGACUGUGGUGUUCCAUUUUCUCAGGUCAUCUUCGCUAUUCUGGAAGCGAACUGGAACCUUAUUCCUCCCUCAUUUGGUUUGUUGUGAAGUCAAGUAUGUCCGGUGACCGGACUUUCAUUGAUGGGGACGUUUCUUCUGGGUCUGGCGAGGAAGCAAACAUGUUAGAUGGCCAUAAUAAACACCAUACUGUGAUUCCUCAUUCAGGGAGGCACAAGAGAAGCCGUAAGGCAACAGGAGAUGCUAUGCUGGAGAUCGCCGCAGCCUCAAAGAUGAGAGCUGCUGCAAUCAUGAGAACUGAGGAACGAUUCACCAUAAGCAAGUGUAUAAGAAUAUUGGACGAGAUGCAAGGUGUUGAUCAAAAUGUAUACUUUUUUGCUUUGGAUUUAUUUGAAAAUCCUUCAGCAAGAGAAACUUUCAUAUCUCUUAAAAGCGAGAGGCGGUUAGCAUGGAUGCAGAGGAAAUUUAGAGCAUCUACAAGUUCAGCAACCUGACUAUGAUGUGAACUACUGUUAGCUGACUUAGUGUUUAAAUAUCUACGCUUACAUUAGCCUAGUUGGUUUUAAGUGGAUUUGCUGUACAUGAACAAGGUUAGCAUUCCUGAAUAUGAUUUAGUAGCCAUGAUUAUUAAGUUGAACACUUGUAGGAUGUGGUAUUAAACAGCAUGAAUUAAAUAACAAGAAUACCAUAAUCUAUUCAGUCUCAAA